CUCUGGCGCAAUGCUUUUGAUCAUGAUCAUGCUGGGAGGUUUGAGAGCAACCUCUAGCUUCUCGUUUUUGCCCGCACUGCCUAAAGUUAAUGUGUGGGUAACUCUAGCAAACCUCACUGGACAAGACACUUUGUGUCUUGCUACUGCCUCUCCUAAUAACCCCUUUUCCACAUGCCUUGUGGGUUUGCCGCUGGAUGUAUGGCCAAUACCUGCAGCGGUCCAACAUACGUUUCCAAUUAGAAAUGUGACUGAUAAUUGGGAUGGGUGGACUCACUAUCUCCCAACCGCUAACCUAGAACCGCAAGAGAUUGAGCUUCUUGGAUCAGUAAAAAUGGAUUUUUGUGUAAAAUUCAACUACACGGGUAAGAAUCAGUCUAAGGCAUGGGAUGUUUCCCCUGUCCAUCCUGUGUUUAGAAACACCACUGCAUGGUGUAAUUAUACAUCAACAAACCUAUCUAAAUCUGGUCAAGUUCCCCUAUCCUUACCACCAGGAAUAUUCCUUAUUUGCGGGGACCGAGCAUGGCCCGCAAUCCCCUCUCAUAUUAAAGGAGGUCCAUGUAGCCUUGGACGCCUCUCUGUCUUAACUCCUAAUACCUCUACGAUUUUACAAUAUCGUCUUUCUCAUAGAACAAAGCGCAGUAUUCAUGCAUAUACCCCCAAUUGUGAUGAUAAUCUAGAUUUUUGGACUUUUAGUAAACGCUUUUCUGCCUCUCUCUUGUUACCUAGCGUGGCCGCUGGAAAGGCCUUGGCAACUCUGGAUAAACUUGGCUGCUGGCUUGCUAAACAGACUAACGCUAGUAGUAAUGCAUUAUCUGACUUUUUGUUAGACGUUGAUAGUGUUCAACAUGCUACACUGCAAAAUAGAGCUGCUAUAGAUUUUUUGUUAUUAGCACAAGGCCAUGGAUGUGAGGAUUUUGAGGGCAUGUGUUGUAUGAAUCUUUCUGAUCACUCAGAAUCAAUUCAUGCCAGUAUUCAACAGCUUAAAGCAGGAGUUUAAGCUGAUUCAAAGCAUUACUGUAGAGAUAUGUUUAUUCCUUUUUCUAUAUAUGUUUAUUGCAUGCC
rnacentral:lncRNA from 1 species